CAGAAUUAUUCUGAAUGGGAAGUUAGCAACCUUGAAUAAUGUAUACCAUGACAACCCAGAAGCAACAAUUAUGAUCAAGAGUCAAAGAAAUAAAAUCAACGGACACUAAAAAUGAAUGGGAAAGAUGAUUUUUAUUUCCAAACAGACAAACAUAUAUAAUCCUUGGAACUUUGUUUUGACUGGCAUGUGUAAGCCCUAUUGCUCUGCUUGAUGAUUGUCACCAAUGCUCUAUGAACACCAGGCACCCAAGAAACCAAUUCAGGUCAAAAGAACACAUGAGGAAGAUCUGGACCGCAAAAGAUUUAUGGCACAAUGAAAUCCACAAAACUGUUUUUGCUAUGACAGCCUAACGUGACUACCCCUCUGGAAAUUGCUAGGAUGAAUGACUAUGUGAACUAAAUUGGUUGCCUAAACCCAGGAGAGCAAUGUAUUUAUCAUAAACCUAAGAGUAUGAAAUGCAAUUAAAAUCUCAUUUAUAUAAAAAUUUUCUUGCUAAAAAAAAAAGUAAAGCAACAAUCAUCGCUACUUCCUAUUUUGGGAUGCUGAAAAGGACUGAGGAAAUCAUCACCCUGUGUUUAUGAAAAUCACAAAUUGCUUAUAAAUGGAACAUGUUUAGUAAUUUAUUAAUGUUUUAAAAUCAAACUUAUGUAAGAAGACACAAAGCAUUCUGUAUUUAAUCUUUUGUAAAAAUGGAUAUGGAGUCAACAUUUCUGUGCUG